rnacentral:rRNA from 1 species
GCGAUUCGCCCUUGGGCGCGCAGGCGCGAAAACUCCACAAUGUACGACAGUACGAUGGGGUUAUCUCGAGUGCAGUCCGAUAAGGGCUGCUUUUCCAUAGAGUAAUAUCCUGUGGGAAUAAGAGGGGGGCAAGACUGGUGUCAGCCGCCGCGGUAACACCAGCCCCUCGAGUGGUGGGGACUAUUAUUUGGUCUAAAGCGUCCGUAGCUGGCUGUAUCCGUCCCCCGUUAAAUCCAGCGUCCUAAGCGUUGGACUGCGGGUGAUACCAUACAGCUAGAGGGUGGGAUAGGUGAGCGGUAUUUCUGGGGUAGGGGCGAAAUCCUUUGAUCCCAGGAGGACCACCAGUGGCGAAGGCUGCUCACUAGAACACGCCUGACGGUCAGGGACGAAAGCUGGGGCAGCGAACCGGAUUAGAUACCCGGGUAGUCCCAGCUGUAAACGAUGCCGCUAGCGUGUUGGGUCGGCCACGCGCCGCCCCAGUGCCGCAGGGAAGCCGUUAAGCUGGCCACCUGGGGAGUACGGCCGCACGGCUGAAACUUAAAUGAAUUGGCGGGGGAGCAC